rnacentral:rRNA from 1 species
CCUACGGGAGGCAGCAGUGAGGAAUAUUGGUCAAUGGACGCAAGUCUGAACCAGCCAAGCCGCGUGCAGGAAGACGGCUCUAUGAGUUGUAAACUUCUUUUGUACGAGGGUAAACGCAGACACGCGUACCUGUCUGAAUGUACCGUAUGAAUAAGGAUCGGCUAACUCCGUGCCAGCAGCCGCGGUAAUACGGAGGAUUCAAGCGUUAUCCGGAUUUAUUGGGUUUAAAGGGUGCGUAGGUGGUUGGGUAAGUUAGUGGUGAAAUCUCGAGGCUCAACCUGGGAAUUGCCUCUGAUACUGUUCGGCUAGAGAGUAGUUGCGGUAGGCGGAAUGUAUGGUGUAGCGGUGAAAUGCUUAGAGAUCAUGCAGAACACCGAUUGCGAAGGCAGCUUACCAAGCUACUACUGACGUUGAGGCACGAAAGCGUGGGGAGCAAACAGGAUUAGAUACCCCGGUAGUC